UGGCUCCUCUACAUGCAGCCCAGGUAGCAAAUGGGACUUCUCCCAGGAAGGGCUGCCGAGCCAAACCAUCCCAGAACAUUUCAGAGAAUGACUCCUCAACACUGCAGCCCUCUGCAUUACCCAGAUUGUGAGACGGGCUGUAUUCCUGGUAGCAAACUCGGUACUCUCCCAAUGUCAGUCAACAGAUUGGGAGGGACCAAACCUAAGGCACCAAGAAAAAUGGGGAGUGGGACAACUUGGUACUUGGGAUGCUAGUGUGCUACGAACUGACAGUAAUUAUCAUUCCUCAUCAUUCACCUCUGCCCUGUGGUGCACAGUCAAAGGAUGCCAGAUCCACCUUGACAUGGAGAUCAAUUCAAGAACGAGUGGAUGUGGAAGGUCAUUAACUGCAGGCUAGCCUACUGCAUCCACAUAUCCUGGUAUCAGACAGGACACAGUACGCCCGGGAGCCCAUCCACCUCAGUGAAAAAGAACUGUGUGAUUUUUUGGACAACUGGCACUUGUUAUCAGUCAUGUAGGUAUGCUAUCACCCAAAAUCAGUUAUUUUGGGACUCAAUGGCAACCUGGUCUUUCAUGUUUUUUCACUUGUGGAAUCAGAAACAUUGCUUAAGUUGGGCAACCAACUGCUACGUAUAUUGGCCCACAAGUGGUAGUUUUCAUAUCAGAGGUAGUUGUCAUUUAGGCCGGCAACGGUUGUUAUCAUGUCCCUGCCAGCGGUAGUUGCCAUGACACUUUUACAACAGUAGCUGCUUUAGGCCAGCAGAGUGAGGUGCUCAUUGACAUUGACAGUGGUAGUUGCCACAGUAGCUUUUUGUGUAAUUAACUGGGAGUUUCGUAGCACCAGAACCUGCACACAUUCAGCCCUUGUUGUUCUUAUUGGCAAGGGCAUCCUGUGUGUGGUAACCCCCUCCCUUCUUUCCUCGGCAUAACGUGCAACAACUGCUAUUUGUUUCAGUGGAUAUGUUUGGUGGUGGUGAAGGUGUGGCUAUAAGGGGAGGUGGAGGCCACCUUUACUAGUAAUUGUUUUCUUGUUUAAAAAUAUAUACAAAUAUGUCAUUAAUUCAGUUUUACUGCACAACUUAGCAUUCAUAAUGAUUCACUGAUGUUUUUAUUUAAAAUAUUACAUUAAAGAGGUACACACAACAUGUAUAAUCUGCAUGGUAAGUAUAUCAACAAUGUGCAGACUGCCUGUUGUUUAUUUGAACUGCCAGUAAUUACCAUGAUUAGUGUUAUUUUAUUCAGUGGAUAUGUUUUGGUGGCGAAGGUGUGGCUAUAAGGGGAGGUGGAGGCCACCUUUACUAGUAAUUGUUAAAAAAUAAAUACAAAUCUGCCAAAUUUGGUUUUACUGCACAACUUAGCAGUCAUAACAAAUCACUGAUGUUUAUUGAUAUGUAUAAUGUGCAUGGUAAGUAUAUAUAUCAACAAUGUACAGACUGCCUGUUGUUUAUUUGAACUGCCAGUAAUUACCAUGAUUACUAUUUUUUAUUUCAGUGGAUAUGUUUUGGUGGUGAAGGUGUGGCUAUAUGGGGAGGUGGAGGCCACUUUAAGUGUAAAA
rnacentral:lncRNA from 1 species